rnacentral:rRNA from 1 species
AGUGAACGCUGGCGGUAGGCCUAACACAUGCAAGUCGAAUGGCAGCACAGUAAGAGCUUGCUCUUACGGGUGGCGAGUGGCGGACGGGUGAGGAAUACAUCGGAAUCUACUUUUUCGUGGGGGAUAACGUAGGGAAACUUACGCUAAUACCGCAUACGACCUACGGGUGGAAGCAGGGGAUCUUCGGACCUUGCGCGAUUGAAUGAGCCGAUGUCGGAUUAGCUAGUUGGCGGGGUAAAGGCCCACCAAGGCGACGAUCCGUAGCUGGUCUGAGAGGAUGAUCAGCCACACUGGAACUGAGACACGGUCCAGACUCCUACGGGAGGCAGCAGUGGGGAAUAUUGGACAAUGGGCGCAAGCCUGAUCCAGCCAUACCGCGUGGGUGAAGAAGGCCUUCGGGUUGUAAAGCCCUUUUGUUGGGAAAGAAAAGCAGCAGGUUAAUACCCCGCUGUUCUGACGGUACCCAAAGAAUAAGCACCGGCUAACUUCGUG